AACUGAUACUACCUGCGGGAACCUGCGGAGGGAUCAUUACAUGGCGGAGGAGGUGGGCACCUAGUAAAAACAAAACCCUAGGUGUGUUGCCUACCACGCUUUCUACCCUUGUCUAUUUGCACCUUUUGUCGUUCCCUCGGUGGGUCUUGAACCUGCCGGCGGCAACUUUCAAAAACCUUUUGUAGUUAGUAUCUAAUUCUUCUGAUCAAAUAUUCAAUCGUUACAACUUUUAGCAAUGGA
rnacentral:misc_RNA from 1 species